AUUUGGAAUGCCACAGAAGUAUGUGCAAAUGAUCCCUGCUAUCUGGAAUUACCCAAGCCCAGCACCAGCAAUGGAGAGCUGAAAAACCGGGUGUGUUUGGGAGUUUCUGUCUGUACUUUUUCAUGGAAAUGAACGGUUGAAUAUAGAGGUCUUGGAAAAAAGCUUGUGUUCUUUGGAGAAUGAGUAUUUCAUCGCUGUUAUGCCAACUUAAUGGAAAAUACACAAAAAGGGGACUAGAGUGAAGGGAAGGAGGGAAAAACCGAAAAUAAAGAAGACCAAAAGCCAUGCUCACUUGCUGCAGAAAAGGCAAACCAAGUUCCUGAUGCUGCUGCAGCCAAAAGAGACCAGAGGAGAGGUGGGGUUCACACCUAUAAAACAUCAAAUUUCUGAACAUCUGCACAGUCUCAUAUUCCAUGUGUGUGAAUGAAUGCACAGAGAUCAUUAAAGACACGUUUAUUGUGA